UACGGAGGGGGCUAGCGUUGUUCGGAAUGACUGGGCGUAAAGCGUGCGCAGGCGGUUGUGCAAGACAGAUGUGAAAUCCCCGGGCUCAACCUGGGAACUGCAUUUGUGACUGCACAGCUUGAGUGCGGCAGAGGGGGAUGGAAUUCCGCGUGUAGCAGUGAAAUGCGUAGAUAUGCGGAGGAACACCGAUGGCGAAGGCAAUCCCCUGGGCCUGCACUGACGCUCAUGCACGAAAGCGUGGGGAGCAAACAGG
rnacentral:rRNA from 1 species